GAGUUUGAUCUUGGCUCAGGAUGAACGCUAGCGGCAGGCUUAAUACAUGCAAGUCGUGGGGCAGCAGGUGUAGCAAUACAUGCUGGCGACCGGCAAACGGGUGCGGAACACGUACGCAACCUUCCUUUAACUGGAGAAUAGCCCCUCGAAAGAGGGAUUAAUACUCCGUAACAUAUUGAUAAGGCAUCUUAUUAAUAUUAUAGCUCCGGCGGUUAAAGAUGGGCGUGCGCCUGAUUAGGUAGUUGGCGGGGUAACGGCCCACCAAGCCUUCGAUCAGUAACUGGUGUGAGAGCACGACCAGUCACACGGGCACUGAGACACGGGCCCGACUCCUACGGGAGGCAGCAGUAAGGAAUAUUGGUCAAUGGACGCAAGUCUGAACCAGCCAUGCCGCGUGGAGGAUUAAGGCCCUCUGGGUUGUAAACUCCUUUUAUCUGGGAAGAAAUCCAUAUAUUCUUAUGUGGUUGACGGUACCAGAGGAAUAAGCACCGGCUAACUCCGUGCCAGCCGCCGCCGU
rnacentral:rRNA from 1 species